AAACCGAGUCUUAACUGGGCGUUAAGUUGCAGGGUAUAGACCCGAAACCCGGUGAUCUAGCCAUGGGCAGGUUGAAGGUUGGGUAACACUAACUGGAGGACCGAACCGACUAAUGUUGAAAAAUUAGCGGAUGACUUGUGGCUGGGGGUGAAAGGCCAAUCAAACCGGGAGAUAGCUGGUUCUCCCCGAAAGCUAUUUAGGUAGCGCCUCGUGAAUUCAUCUCCGGGGGUAGAGCACUGUUUCGGCAAGGGGGUCAUCCCGACUUACCAACCCGAUGCAAACUGCGAAUACCGGAGAAUGUUAUCACGGGAGACACACGGCGGGUGCUAACGUCCGUCGUGAAGAGGGAAACAACCCAGACCGCCAGCUAAGGUCCCAAAGUCAUGGUUAAGUGGGAAACGAUGUGGGAAGGCCCAGACAGCCAGGAUGUUGGCUUAGAAGCAGCCAUCAUUUAAAGAAAGCG
rnacentral:rRNA from 1 species